rnacentral:lncRNA from 1 species
GAGUACAAUCCCAAAAUCUCAUAGUGCGGAAAUCUGGUGUGCAUGUGAUGUGCAACUACCGCGCCGACUCCUUCCCCUUCGCUGAAGAGGUACCUGAAACAAAACUGAAAAUUGUAAGAAUGAAGCUGAGUGAGUUCCCCCAUCAUACCACAUACACUACAUAACACAUAUAUUGUCAGGCAUAUCUGGGUGCCUGACCCACCCGUUCGGUCCUUUCGACCGAUAACCUUGCCGAGCAUAUCUGGGUGCUGGCCUACCCAUUCGGUCCUUUCGACCGGUGACCUUGCCAAGCAUAUCUGGGUGCUGGCCUACCCCUUUGGUCCUUUCGACCGGUCUCUGGGGACUACUUCACCACUCUCACUAACACAUAAUACCAUAACAUAUAGCAUAACAUAAGCUGUCUAGCAUAACUGGGUACUAACUACACCUUCGGUCCUUUCGACUGGUACUGGGGUCUAUCCUACCCCUCCUAUCACAUAU